CAGCAACACACAGUUGUUUUGGCUUCUCCAUGCCUGGUUUGCUGUCAGUGUGAUCAGAGAGAAGGAAUCCUUCUUGAAGGAUGUCUUCCCAGAGCUGAGGUGUCACAUCUGAAUUAAGUUCACAAAGGACAAACCAAUUCUGAAUUUUGUGCCUGCAGUAUCCCAAACAUGUAUGGACAGUUAGUCUGAAAGUAUAACAGGGACAAAGAAACGGACUUUGCCAAAGAAAUAUCAGCAGGACUAUCAAAAAGCUACUUAAAAUGUUUAAGACUGUGAAGACUUGGGGUUUGGACAGAAGUGACUUAGCACAUUAUGGAGGAAGGUGCUUGAACGUGCUUCUGAGGGCAGCUGUUUCCUUUCACUUUUGCCCUGUACCAAAAGAAAUGAAAGAAGAAAGAAAAACAUAGGAAGAAAGAGAAAGAAAGGUGUGAGAGACAGCUUUCAUGUACAACUGAAGGGGUUUCUGUGCUGAAUCAAAAAUGUUCGGUGUUGAAGAGAAUGCUUCGGCUUUCGAAUAUGGAGAGAAGGAGACAU